AUCUAUAUAUAUAUAUAUAUAUCUAUAUCUAUAUCGUGAGACGAAUAAGCAACUAUUUUGAUUGUAAACUUUUCUCAAGCAAUGUAAAACAUUGUCCCAAUAUCAUGAACAUUUACAUUUGAAUAAAUUUCAUGAAACGUAACCAGGAAUAUUGAUUCAAAUCCGACAAUUCGGACUUUACAGGAUAUCCUGCUGUCCUUGCAAUUAAUUAAUUAGAUCACAAAUGACUUACUAUAGUAUGAUCACAAAUGACUAACUAUAAUAAUAAGAAAUGUAUAGGUUUGAAAGUUGACGAAAUGAUAUGCUAAUUAAGAUCACCAGGGGUGGAAAAUAUAGCGGGACCAAUGGUUCCAGAAAAUAUUUUUUGCUGGCAGAAAGAAAAAAAGGGAAGGAAGAAAAAGGGGGAAAGGAAGAAAAGCAAAGAAAGAAAAAAAGGAAGGGCAGAAAAAGAAUAGAAAGAAAGAAAGAAAGAGACUAACUGCACCAAUAAGUAGCCAUUUUGUUCAGGGACAGACACUAGGUGUAGGGGGUGCCCCCAAAAAAAUUUCUGAAAACUUUGAUAGCGUAAUGUAGCCGCAUUUGCAGGCAACCUUGUUCUACCCCCUUUGGCCCUUUGUUGGCUUUGUAUCAUACCACUGUCUUACCUUAUUAGCAUGACUUUACAUACAAGUAUUUAGUAUUGCUUAUUAGUUGGUAUAAAUAUCUGCAAAUGCAAAAUGUUUUGUGGUAGUAUGACAUACUGUCCAUAUCGAGUAAUACAAGAAAUACAAAUGAAGUUACUGAUAUAAAGGAAGACUUACUUUACAGAUGAGUACCCUAUUUACGGCGUAUAAUUGAAGAAGUUUGGGUUAGUUAAACAGCCUAUUGACUGUCAGAAUUCAUGGUUUCAAGGCAUUUAGAUCUUCAAGGCAUUUAGAUCGACGAACUUUUUCGUCGCUUGGCGUAAGAAUAACAGAGUCUGCGAGCAGGCUAUUUAGAUCUCUUCUCAAACCAGAAAGAGAUAAAUUUCGAUAAUUUUAUCACAGUUUCGUCAGUUGAUUUCAUUAUCUUAACUGGUAAACUGUGUUCAUUAGAUCUGCUUAUGAUCUGCUUCAUUGGUGGGAUCACAUUCCAAGUAAUUUAAAAAGUAUUUCCAAAGACUACUGUAGGCUUCACAGGAAGUGAUGUUCCAUUUCAAUUUCUCCCGAGUCCUGACUGGCAGACCUUGCAUACUCUGUCUUCUUGUCUGAUAAACAAAAUAUGGAAUUUAUUUUUCCCCAAAGUGUCUGCCAUUGUUUAUAUUAUAUAAAACACAACUAAAGGCAAUCAUAGUUAAUAGAAAAUAAACAUCGUUAGGAAGAUUGAUAAACUUCAAGUAGUUUCCUAACCAAACUUCAAUUGAUGUUGAAAACUUGAAAUGUACCUGAAAGUACACAAUUUGUUGAUCAAUACUAAAAUCUUACGGUUGAAGUCUGAGGUUUCCAUUGGGCAAUUGCUUCAUUAUCUAG